AGCUAUUCCCCUUUCAAUAUCUUCUACAGGUACUGCCUUGACUACAGGAAGUCAGUACCCAGGGAAGUCAGUAAAAGCUUCCCUCACCAACAUGGCUGUUUCCCCACUUCCUGUCAAGUUGGAGGACCACACCACCACACCCAACUCAGGACACUCCCAACCACAGGCCUCAAGUCCCCAUACAACAGAACAUAUUGGACUUGUCAUCCCAGCCUCCUCCAGCUGUGACGUUGAAGGUGCAGUUCAGGAUGCAGUCCUGCCCGACAGUGCAGUUCACAGAGCUCGGGACUUUCACA